rnacentral:piRNA from 1 species
GUGCAGUUUCCUGCUGGCGUCGC